rnacentral:lncRNA from 1 species
UUCAAGUUUUGGUAAUCAGGCGCCCACCUGUAGAACAAGGGAAUAUUUUUCAAGUUUCAAGUCUUGGUAAUCAGGCUCCCACCUGUAGAACAAGAGAUUAUCUUUCAAGUUGCAAGUCUUGGUAAUCAGGCGCCCACAUGUAGAACAAGGGAAUAUUUUUCAAGUUGAAAGUCUUGGUAAUAAGGAACUCACAUGUAAAACAAGGGAAUAUCUUUCAAGUUGUAAGUCUUGGCAAUCAGGCGUCCACCUGGAUAACAAGGGAGUUUUUUUCAAAUUUUAAAUUUUGGUAAUCAGGCGUCUACCUAGAGAACAAGGGAAUAUUUUCCAAAUUUCAAGUUUUGGUAAUCAGACGCUACCUGUAGAAUAAGGGAAUAUUUUUCAAGUUUCAAGUCUUGGUAUCAGGCGCAUAUCUGUAGAACAAGGGAAUAAUUUCAAGUUGUAAGUCUUGGUAAUCAAGCACCCACCUGUAGAACAAGGAAAUAUUUUUCAAGCUGCAAGUUUGGUAAUCAGGCGCCCACCUGGAGAACAAGAGAAUAUUUUUUAAAUUUCAAGUCUUGGUAAUCAGGCGGUCAUCUGUAGAACAAGGGAGAUAUUCCAAAUUUCAAGUUUUGGUAAUCAGGCAUCCACCUGGAGAACAAGGAAAUAUUUUUCAAAUUUCAAGUUUUGGCAAUCAGGCGCCCACCUGGAGAACAAGGGAAUAUUUUUCAAAUUUCAAGUUUUGGUAAUCAGGCGCCCACCUGUAGAACAAGGGAAUAUUUUUAAGUUUCAAGUCUUGGUAAUCAGGCGUCCACCUGUAGAACAAGGUAAUAUUUUUUAAGUUGUAGGUCUUGGUAAUCAGGCGCCCACCUGUAGAACAAGGGAAUAUUUAUCAAGUCGCAAGUCUUGGUAAUCAGGCGCCUACCUGUAGAACAAGAAAAUAUUUUUCAUGUUGUAAGCUUUGGUAAUCAGGCGCCCACCUAUAGAACAAGGAAAUAUUUUUUAAGUUGCAGGUUUUGGUAAUCAGGUGCCCACCUGGAGAACAAGGGAAUAUUUUUCAAGUUGCAAGUCUUGGUAAUCAGGCACCACUAGUAGAACAAGGGAAUAUUUUUCAAAUUUCAAGUUUUGGUAAUUUGGCGCCCACCUGGAGAACAAGGGAAUAUUUUUUAAAUUUCAAGUUUUGGUAAUCAGGCGUCCACAUGUAGAACAAGGGAAUAUUUUUCAAGUUGCAAGUUUUUGUAAUCAGGCACCCACCUGUAGAACAAGAGAAUAUUUUUCAUGUUGCAAGUCUUGGUAAUCAAGCGCCCACCUGUAGAACAAGGGAAUAUUUUUAAAGUUCCAAGUCUUGGUAAUCAGGCGCCACCAAUAGAACAAGGGAAUAUUUUUCAAGUUGCAAGUUUUGGUAAUCAAGCGCCUACCUGUAGAACAAGGGAAUAUUUUUUAAGUUGUAAGUUUUGGUAAUCAGGCGCCCACCUGGAGAACAAGGGAAUAUUUUUCAAGUUGCAAGUCUUGGUAAUUAGGCGCCCACCUGUAGAACAAGAGAAUAUUUUUUAAGUAGCAAGUUAUGGUAAUUAGGCGCCCACCUGGAGAAUACGGAGCUGGUAUGAGAGACCAUCAACAAACCUCCUUAUCCUCUCUCGAUCGAUGGGAACCAACCAAACUGCAUCUCGGGCUAACUCAGGGAAUCACAUCUCAUACUGCGUCACCAUCAUUUCCCCCUGAAUCAACUGCGUAAACUAUCUACGCAACUCCUUUCGGCGCGACUAUGGCACAUACUUCUCCAGGAAGAGAACAUAGAACUAAUACCACCCAAGGGGUUCUACACCAGCAGGCCUACACCUCUAAUACGCCUCCCACCAAGUGAAGGCAGCCCCAGAAAACUAAGUUCAAGAAUCCAAAACUUCCAAAACUAACCUCUCAUGCACCUCCCACCAAAGGUGGUAAACUCCACACCACUAGUCUCAAGAAUCCCUUUUGUACGAAGCAUCCGCUGGAACUUAUCCAAGAAACCUUGGGCAUCCUCGCCGUCUACACCGCUGAGUGUCAGAGGCUGGAGUCUACCAAACCUCUCAAGUCGAUGCUACUUAUCAUCUGGAAAAAUUGGUACUACAAACUCCUUAACUGGUGCAACCGGCUGGGCUGGAGGUGCCCCCGGUGUCUGAAGUCCCUACACAACCUGAUCAGGUGUGCGAGUAACGGGAGUCUGGAUCCCCUCCCCCCUCUCCCCCACCCCUGAUUUGUGAAGUAGUUGCGAUUAUAGUAGCUGAAGUAGCCUGAGCCAAAGCGGUACACACUGAUAAGAUAUGAGCUAAAGCCUCCUGGAGGCUUAGAAUCACGAUAGGCACAGUUGUGCCUGAACUGGUGCUGAUGGAGCAUCCACAGCUAGAGCAUGAUCCUGAGCUGGGGCAGCUGGUGGAUUAACAGGUGCUGCCCUCGCUACUCUACCUCUGCCACGACCACGACCGCGUCCACGACCUCUGGUGGCCUCAGCUGGUGGCACUGGUGGUCGUCCACCCCGUCCGAUAGCACGUUUCCUCACCAUCUAUGAGAGAAUAGAAUAAUAGAAGUUUAGUACUCGGACCGACAAGUUUGCAUGACAAGAAUUUCAAGAAUAUGAAGUUUUUCCUAAAGGUUCUACAGCCUCUCGAGGAUAAAUAUAUACGUCUUCGUACCGAUCUGCGAGACACUACUAAACCGACUCAUGACUCGCGAGACUUAUAUAACCUAGGCUCUGAUACCAACUCGUCACGACCCCAAUUACCGGUCGUGAUGGAGAAUAUCACAUUACUAGGCAAGCCGAUAGAAACCAUAACCACAACCCAUUUGCUAUUAACAUAAACCCAUUUCUAGCACAAGAUUUAAAUGCGAAAUUCUUUAUAUGUAUCAUAAUGUUAGAUAUAUGUAGAAAAUUGAAACAACAAAUACUAGUUAGCCCUAACAAUCUGGUGUCUAGAGCCUGUAAUACAUAACUGAACAUCUAGUACGUCAAGUCUAGGAAAUGCGAUAAAUAAACUAGAUAGAGAGGAGAAGCAGAACUACGGAUGCCAUGCAGCUACCUCGUAAUCUCCGGCGAACACUGAAUCAGUAGAAGGCCCUCACUCUGGCCCUCAGGCACCUAGAUUUAGGCACAAGGUGCAAGGAGUAACGUGAGUAUGCUAACUAAGUAACUAAAGUAAAUAAUGGACUGAAAGCAGUUACGAGCAUUUUAAAACAUAUAACUAAAAUAGAAACAGGAUUAUAGCUCAACUUUAUCGUUUAAAACCAGUUUUCGUCAAAAAAUCUACACUUUCAGCUUAAAACUUGAAAUGAUAUACUUAGCAGUAUUUUCCAACAGAGGCUUAGUUUUAAAGGAAACGUGAAACAGUGAAAACAGCAGAGCAAGGCCCCUCGGGCAAAGAAUCACUCAGAAUACAGCCCCUUGGGCAGCCUCUUGGUCGCUCGUGACUCACCUCUCGUCACACAGUACUCGCUCUCAAUACUCGGCUCAUUUAUAAUCUCAUAAUAUUAGAAUUAUAGUAACUGCUGCAGCGUGUAGCCCGACUACGUUCCAUAUAUUUAUAUCAAAUAUAUAUCACAGCGGUAUGCAUCCCCAUCCAUAUAAGUAUCACUGCGGCAUGAAGCCUGAUCCAUAAUAUGUAUACAUAUAAUAUCCCCACCAUGGGGUUCUUAACCUCUCUGUCAUAAGCGUCACAGCCUCUCAGGCAUCACAACAGAAAUUAGGGAACUCAGCCCAAACACUUCUCACAAUAGGAGUAGAAUGAUAAAACCAGUUUUAAAUAUUUAAUAGGUAAAACAUGACUGAGGAUAUGCUUUUUAACAAGCAAAGUGAGGAAAAAUGGUUAAAGUGCCCCAAAGGGUUUCUACAUAUCGGCACAAGACCCAAAACAUGGCAUAAACCCAAUAAUACAGUAUAAGGAUCCAAAAUUCGGAAUAAUAUAGCACGUUCAAAUAAAAUACGCAGCUUAAUAGUCUCUAUGAGAUGGACCAAGCCACAAUCUCCUACCAAUGCAUGCCCACACGCUCGUCACCUAGCAUGUGUGUCACCGCAUUUAUCAAAUCAAGUCAAAUAUCAGGGUUUGUACACUCAGUUCCGCAUUUAUAAUGGUUACUUACCUCAAACCGG